CGGCGCCGCGUAGCUCGCAAAACCAAAGGCUCGCAUCCGGCAUCUCCCCUCGAUCCUACCCUAAAAAAAAAAUCUCCCCUCGAUCCACUCCGCCGGCCGGCGGCUCCGAAGCCGCCGGCGCCACUCCGCUCCGCCUCCGAAGCCGCCGGCACCUCUUCGUCUUCGUCUCCGCUCCGUCUCCGCCGACGCCGGCACCACCCCCCACCAACCCACCGGAGCGUCCACUCCAGCGGCGACUCGAGCACCGGAUCCGUCUCGAUUUGUUGCGGCUCAGCGCGCGCAAGAUCUAUUGGUAUCUGUGUAGGAGGCGUAUCCAUGGUGUCUCCGUCCGCUCGUGUGCCAUCGCAAAGAAUGGUUCCAGGCCUCCUUGCUGCUUCCCCUGGCCCUACUACUCCUACCUUCGUUGCAGCACCCAUCCCUUCCCAGGUCCCUGAACCCCAUCGUCAAGAACAGGGAGGAAUCUAGACAACAGGGAAAAAACGAAAGGUCAGCUCUGAGUUUGGCAAGAGGGCAAAGGUGCUCCGACCUGCACAUCAGGGCUCCUCCCCUGCUGCCACCAUUCCCACAGCUGGACAUCAGGCACAGCAACUUCCUAGAUCUUCUUAAUCUCAUAUUCCUAACUAUACUGACUUGUCCAUGCAUGUUCCUAAACAAAUGUGCUUGAUCACUGGCCGGAGAUAACUAGCUCGCCCAACAAUAAUUCUCUUACACAGAGCUUUUGGGAAAUAAGGCUUGCAUUCUUGAACUGAGGUGAUCUUUCUGUCUUAAUUGCUUUUCAGUAGACUACAAACUGUAAUCUUUCCACUUAAAAGGUGUGCACCCUGAGAAAUAAAUCCAAGCAAUGCACCAUCCGUACUGAAAACUUUGUUAAUUAACCAUCUUGACUACAUCUUUGUGACCAAGUUUCACAUUUCAGUAAAAGAUUUUGUGCUAGUUAAUUAGAGCUACUGAAGGUUUGAGCAUGUAUCAACUACCAGUUGGGUAUGGAAAACCUUUUUACAUCAUGCAGUGAAUGGCUAGUAACUGCCUAUGCCUUCAAAUAAAUUGGAUGUAGUGGACAGUUUUGAUAGCAGUUAACUUGCAUGCAGUUUACUUUUUCUUUAGUGAACAAGGAGUUGCCUAAACUUGUAUUCCAACUGGGCUCAUUUUCGCUUCCAGUUUGCUGAUCAUUGAUUUGCAGUAGUAGGGAGUCAUUUGGACCGCAUUUCUUCAGAUCACAAGAACAGGAGCCUUGAAAGAGCAGCCUAGUUGAAGAUGGUAUUUCAAAAUGGUAGAUGUUAGACUGCAAUCGAAGAAGCUGCAGCAGCAGGAUUGCUAAGCCACGUAGAAGAAAAAAUGAGGA